rnacentral:rRNA from 1 species
GAUGAACGCUGGCGGCGUGCCUAAUACAUGCAAGUCGAGCGAAUGGAUUAAGAGCUUGCUCUUAUGAAGUUAGCGGCGGACGGGUGAGUAACACGUGGGUAACCUGCCCAUAAGACUGGGAUAACUCCGGGAAACCGGGGCUAAUACCGGAUAACAUUUUGAACCGCAUGGUUCGAAAUUGAAAGGCGGCUUCGGCUGUCACUUAUGGAUGGACCCGCGUCGCAUUAGCUAGUUGGUGUGGUAACGGCUCACCAAGGCAACGAUGCGUAGCCGACCUGAGAGGGUGAUCGGCCACACUGGGACAGAAACACGGCCCAGACUCCUACGGGAGGCAGCAGUAGGGAAUCUUCCGCAAUGGACGAAAGUCUGACGGAGCAACGCCGCGUGAGUGAUGAAGGCUUUCGGGUCGUAAAACUCUGUUGUUAGGGAAGAACAAGUGCUAGUUGAAUAAGCUGGCACCUUGACGGUACCUAACCAGAAAGCCACGGCUAACUACGUGCCAGCCGCCGCUGUAA